rnacentral:rRNA from 1 species
UGAGGAAUAUUGGUCAAUGGGGGCAACCCUGAACCAGCCAAGUCGCGUGAAGGAUGAAGGUCUUAUGGAUUGUAAACUUCUUUUAUACAGGAAUAAAUUGGGGGACGUGUCCCCUUUUGCAUGUACUGUAUGAAUAAGGAUCGGCUAACUCCGUGCCAGCAGCCGCGGUAAUACGGAGGAUCCGAGCGUUAUCCGGAUUUAUUGGGUGUAAAGGGUGCGCAGGCGGAUGGGUAAGUCAGGGGUGAAAGUCUGCAGCUUAACUGUAGAAUUGCCUUUGAUACUGCUCAUCUUGAGUGUGGGAGAGGUUGAUGGAAUUCCAGGUGUAGCAGUGAAAUGCGUAGAUAUCUGGAAGAACACCAGUGGCGAAGGCGGCCACCUGGACAGGUACUGACGCUGAGGCGCGAAAGCGUGGGGAGCAAACA